GGAAAAGUCAUUGUCUUCUUUGCUGGAACAUUUCCUAAGAUGAUCUAAGGUGAAGCAUUUAUGAAUAUCCUCGCUGAUCUAUGGAUCUAUCAUUGUAAGAGUCGAUAAUAUAUGGUGAGCUGCCUCACACCAUCAUUUGGUCUUUGUAGCAUUUGAGUUGGAAAAUUUGUUGGAUUCAUGCGAUUAGGCAUGCCAUGUAAAUCAAUCUGCAAUGGGAAAUGGGAGUUUGCAAACUACCGGAGUCUAAUUGCUGAGGGACGAGGUUCGUAACUGAGGGUCAUGUGCAGAGCUGGAGGAAGAAGUUGCGAGGCUUGGAACUCUCCUUGUGAAGGGCUCAGAGACAACAGUGAGGACAAUGCCUCUUUAGUUGUAAUUGUGAUACUCCUGAUGUGCAAGUAAACAUUCUUGUGAUACUGCUUAUGCUAAAAUGUUGGUUGUUAGUACAGAGGUGGUGACAUUAUUUGGUUCUCUGA